CGGGGGGUGUAGGCGGUGCGGUAAGUUGGGCGUGAAAUCCCCGAGCUUAACUCGGGUGGGCCGUUCAAGACUGCCGUGCUAGGGUGCGGGAGAGGGAAGUGGAAUUUCCGGUGUAGCGGUGAAAUGCGUAGAUAUCGGGAGGAACACCUGCGGCGAAGGCGGCUUCCUGGACCGUAACCGACGCUGAGGCGCGAAAGCUAGGGGAGCAAACAGGAUUAGAUACCCUGGUAGUCCUAGCCCUAAACGAUGAGCACUGGGUGUGGCCCCUCACGAGGCCGUGCCGAAGCUAACGCAUUAAGUGCUCCGCCUGGGGAGUACGGUCGCAAGGCUGAA
rnacentral:rRNA from 1 species